rnacentral:lncRNA from 1 species
GUCGUUCAAUUAUAUUCCAAUUCUGACUUAUUGGGAAGAAAAUUGCUUCGUCCAAUGCCAAUUCCAAUUCCAAUUCCAACUCCAUUCGUAUAAUAAUUAUAUUCCAAUUCCAACUACUUCAUCCAAUUCCAAUCGUGAGGGGCUUCCCAAUAUGUUCUUCGAUAACAGUUUGAAUAUUUUAUUCCCAAUCAAUUAUAUUCCAAUUCCAGUUGGUGAAGUCAGGAGUUUAAGGUGAGGUGCUUCGUCGGCCGGAGAUGAUGUUCGACGACGGUGCUAAAAAAUUAUGAAUCUGGUUUGAUGGAAU